AGUCGCUACUAUUGUUUUCAGUCAGCGGGUAAGAGAGUGGGGUCUGGACACAGCAAAGGAGGUGUCUCGAAACUGGUUCCUUCUAAGACAGCAUUUGAAGAAGCUGCAGGGAAAGAUGUUCAAGAAAAGCCGAAACGGUUGGAAAAGGGAGGGCUACUAGAAUUGGCAAGUAAGUGAAAAUCGAGAGAAAAUAACGAAGAAGAAUAGAGUUUACGCAGACAAGUGAAAGAGAUGGAGCAGUAGGUGACUCAUUUCCAAACACAACUGAAAGAGAAAGAGUCGGAAAAAGCCAGCCUGCUAAAGGAAAAGCGAAAACAAGACGACAGAUCACAGAAAC